UCACCUGGAUUCUGCAUGUUGGUUUAUUUUGGGUGAAAAUGACUACAUAUUGAAAUCAGUUGUGAUUUUUGUUGUUGUCUGUCUGUAGAAGUUGGUGAGGACCACACGAUAUUAUUUAAACCCUGAUGAAUAGAAACAGAGAACUGAAGGAGGGUGAACUCUUUUUCCCUCGUCACGGUUAUUCACAAAAUCCAAACAUCAACAACUACACCAGUAACUAUAAUGAACAUUCAUCCUCAGGGAUCUGUUCCUGGCAGACCAGACAGAGGUUUGAAUCAGUUAUCUGACUCGAUUCUUUUAGGUAAAUGAUGAGUCGACUCUCAGAUCUGAACAACCUUUUUUGGUGAUUCAAGAACAUGGGAAUUGGUUUUAGAAAUGAAAAUAACAGCAGGAAAGAGAUUUUACAGUCAUGUUGACAGCAUUUACAGUAAAUUACUAUACAUCACAGAUGUUAAUUCAGAUUUUAGUGUAAGAACAGGAACAGUGUAUUCUCAGACACUUCCUCUCUCGCUGUUACACAUCUGGAAGGUUUAGAAGUGUCUCCGCAAAUAAACUGAAAACUUUUACUGACAUGAAACGAAUAUUGACGAUAACAGCCUUUAAAAACACACACACGCACACACACACACGCACGCAAUUUAAACAGAAUCUGUACAAAUGUAGUAAAUAUUUAAUAUAUCAUUUUGAACAUAUUGUACAAUCUCCACCGUCCUAAAGUCACAAUUAUGCUCUCAGGAUCUGAUGAUAAUUAGUUAUAUGAUCAUGAUAAUUAACACACACACACACACACACACACACACGAUUAUAUCUUUAAAUAAACUAGCUGUCUAAACCAGGUUUGAAAAUUUCCACUAGAUCUGUAGGUCUUUCUGCAACACGCCACACAUCACUGAAUAAAAAUCAGAUCCCCAAGUUUCCAUUAAAGGAGUUAAAGUUCCCCUGAGCUAGCACGGCUGUGUUCCAAUACUUCUGUAACACCAGCCCCUUGGUGAAGUGACCUCAGCUACCUCAAGAGCCUUGUGCUAUUACUCUCAGCUCGAGCGCAGUGUAUUGUGUGUUCACUUCUGUGAUGUAACAAGGGGAACCCUUCAAGGGGAAGUGUUGGACACAGAAUUGGAACACAGGGCAGAUAUUACUGUACAUCCUACCUACGUACAGGUGCAUCUCAAAAAAUCUGAAGAUCGUGGAAAAGUUCAUGAAUGAACGUAAAUUAAUUCAAAAAGUAGAACUUUCAUAUAUUCUAGAUUCAUAUAUUCUAGAUUCAUUACACAAAGUGAAAUAUUUCGAGCGUGUUUUUGUUUUAAUCUGAAUGAUUACGGGUUACAGCUCACAGACAUCAAACAUCCAGUUUCUCAGAAUAUUCGAAUAAGGAAUUUAUAAUACAGAAAUGUGGACCUUCUGAACAGGAUGUUAAUUUAUGUGCUGAUACUCGGUCAGGGCUUUAAUCCUUGUGCAGGAGUGACUGCAUCAGUGCGGCGUGGCGUGGAGGCGAUCAGCCUGCGGCACUGCUGAGGUGUUCUGAAGCCCAGGUUGCUUUGAUAGCGGUCUUCAGCUCGUCUGUAUUGUCGGGUCUGGUGUCUCUUGUAGAUUCUCUAUGGGGUUCGGGUCAGGCGAGUCGGAUGGACGAUCGAGCACAGUAACACCACGGUCAGUAAACCAGUUACUGGAAGUUUUGGCACUGUGGGUAGGUGCCGAGUCCUGCUGGAAAAGGAAAUCCACACUGCAUUGGCUCCCAGUUAAAUCUCACACUGAUUAUAAAAUACUUUUAUUAACCUAUAAAGCACUAAACGGUCUCGCGCCACAGUACAUAAUCGACCUUUAGGUUUUAUAUGAUCCGCCACGCCUACUUAGAUCAAAAGAUGCAGGCUAUCUGACAGUACCUGGAAUAGUGAAGGCUACAGCAGGGGGAAGAGCUUUCUCUUAUAGAGCCACACAGUUAUGGAACAGUCUUCCAUUAGUGUUCGGGACAGUGUUUAAGUCUAGGCUUAAAACGUAUUUGUUUACUCAAGCCUACCCUGACUAGAUUCUGUUACGCUAAGCACAGUCCUAAUAAUCUUUUCUCUCCUCUCUCCUUCUGCCGAGCCACACACGAUUGUAUGGAGAUACUAGAGAUCCAGAUCCUCUCUGAUCUCCGGACCUGUCUGAUCCGUUUCGGAUGUCCUGCCUCUGGAUGGAGCUCUCAUCUACUCCAAUUCCAGACUGCUGGGACUACGGCUGCUCC
ensembl:lncRNA